rnacentral:rRNA from 1 species
UACGAAGGGGGCUAGCGUUGCUCGGAAUCACUGGGCGUAAAGGGUGCGUAGGCGGGUCUUUAAGUCAGGGGUGAAAUCCUGGAGCUCAACUCCAGAACUGCCUUUGAUACUGAGGAUCUUGAGUUCGGGAGAGGUGAGUGGAACUGCGAGUGUAGAGGUGAAAUUCGUAGAUAUUCGCAAGAACACCAGUGGCGAAGGCGGCUCACUGGCCCGGUACUGACGCUGAGGUG